GUAGGGAGGAUUUUAGUGGUUGGUUAUACAAGUUAAAACCUUGUUGGUGAGAGUUCGAUUCUCUCUCCAUACC
rnacentral:tRNA from 1 species